rnacentral:misc_RNA from 1 species
GUUUCGGGCUCUCAAAAGAGUGAUGUGAAUGUGUAGCGUCUUCACUGGAUAUGCUUCGCUGGUGCAAUGAGCUGAUAGAAGACGCGGGGCUGCGUGACAUCCGUGAGAUCGAGCUGCUGAGAGGCAUCCGUCCUUCGGCUCUUUCUUUGAGCAACAAAAUAUCCUCGCAUAUAACAGCAACCUCUCCUUGGAAUACAUCAACGACGUGGCCACGGUCAACCAAGAACUCCCUCAGCUUAGAAUUCUCCUCUGCGUCAUGUUGAAGUCGUUCCGAAUCUUGCACUAUGUGGC